GGUUACUCGUAGCAAGAGUAAGUGCAAUUAUCGCCUCAAUGAAAAAAGACACCUCCUAGUCAUUUCUAUCGGCAUUCAGUGAUUGAAUGUAGCAAAAGACGAGAGAGUUGUGUUCUACUCCAGCUGCUGUCCCUUCCACGCCAGCCACCAUCCAGUUUUUUUUCACCACCAUAUAUGUUUUGAAGAGAGAGGGAAAAACAAAGAGAAACGGAGAGGAAAUAUGAGUUUUUGAGUCUGUGAACAGUGCAUCAUCAAAUCGUGUUCUGGAGCUUGUUUGCCCUCCGAUUGUUCUGAUUUUUGGAUAUGUUGUUCAUGAGAGUCAAUUCUACUUUCUGAAUGGUGGAGAUUGAAAUCCAAGUACUGUAAGGCAAUUAAUUGUGGGUAAAUCCGAAACUGCAGUUUUUGUGUCUUUUGGGAUUGUUCUCUCCAUAAAUUGUGAUAUUUUAAACCUGUUUUUGCUGAGAUUGUUGGUGAUGGAUUUGUGAAGUUUAUGACAUUUGUAUGGCUCUAGUUUGCACUAGAGAAGACUUUGUAUUCCCAUUUUCGAUGAUAGUGAAAGACUUUAAUCGGA